rnacentral:rRNA from 1 species
AAGCUCGUAGUUGAAUUUCGGGAUUAGUACGUCGGUCGUGCCUUAGGUACGUACUGGUGUUACUGGUUCCUACCUUCUGACGAACCAUCAUGUCAUUAAUUUGGUGUGGUGGGGAAUCAGGACAGUUACUUUGAAAAAAUUAGAGUGUUUAAAGCAGGCUCGCGCUUGAUUACAUUAGCAUGGAAUAAUGAAAUAGGACGUUGAUCCUAUUUUGUUGGUUUCUAGGAUUGACGUAAUGAUUAAUAGGGAUAGUUGGG